rnacentral:lncRNA from 1 species
UUUAUAUAACUAUGCACGUGUACAAAAUCUGAUGAAUGUCAUUGGAUGCAGUAUAAAAUCAUUGAUUGCGUUGGUCUUUGCAGGUGUGGGGUGUGCCUGGACUUUACCAAGGUGGCCAGGUGCCAGGACAAGGGUUUGGUGGUCGUGGAGUGUUGCCCGGUGUGGCCACUGGGAACGGACUCAAUCCCAAAUCAUUGCCAGGUGGAGGACAGCAGGGACCAGGAGGCUCGGGUCGUGUUGGUUAUGGAGGACCAAUGCAGCCAGGAGUAUUCCAUGGAUACCCACUCAAAACACCCAAAACACAAGGUGGCUAUGGAGCAAAAGUUGGAGGAGCUGGAGGCAAACUUCCAUUUGGUACAGAACGUUUUUAAUAUGUAAAUGUUUUAAGUAGUGUGUCUGCAUGUAUGUGUAAUUGUACAUGUGUGUGUAGUACAAGCAGUACGGUACAGUAGAUGGUUCUCUCCACUUGUUUCAGGAUAUGGAGGCUUUGGUGGUGGUGGUGGAGCAGGCCUUCCUGGUGGAAAAGGUGGUCCUGGAUCCAAGCCUGGAUACCCCAUUGGAACUGGUGUUGGGACAGGAGGUCUUAACCCGGCCCAGGCUCAGGCUAAAGCUGCUAAAUAUGGUGCUGGUCCUGGUUUGGGUGGUGUGCCUGGUGCAGGUGGAGCUUACCCUGGAGCAGGAGGAGCUUACCCUGGAGCAGGAGGAGCUUACCCUGGAGGAGUCCCAGGAGGUGCGGGUGGGGUCCCAGGUCUUGGAUCAGUAGCAGGAGGAGCAGGAGGAGUACCUGGAUGGUUACCCGCAGGAGCUGGAGGAUAUAACCCUGCUGCGGCCAAAGCUGCUAAAUAUGGAGUUCCAGGGGGUGCAGGUGCAGGCCUAGGAGCUGGAGGAUUUGGUGGGGUACCAGGAGGAGGAGGAGGGGGUGUACCUGGGGCCGGAGGACUCCCAGGAGGAGGUGCAGGCAGGCUCCCAGGUGCUGGCUCAGUCGCAGGAGGAGCAGGAGGAGUACCUGGGGCUGGAGGAUAUAAUCCUGCUGCGGCCAAAGCCGCUAAAUAUGGAGUUCCAGGAGGAGCAGGUGCAGGGUUAGGAGGAGCUGGAGGUGUUCCAGGGGGUGCUGGAUUUGGGGGAGCAGGAGCUUUUCCAGGGUCUGGAGGAUUCAACCCUGCCGCCGCCGCCAAAGCUGCUAAAUAUGGGGUCCCAGGAGGUACAGGGGCAGGCCUAGGAGCUGGAGGUCUUGGAGGAACAGGAGGGGUACCAGCAGGAGGAGCUGGGGCUGGAGGUGUCCCCGGAGGUGCAGGAGCAGGCCUAGGAGCAGGAGGAGUACCAGGAGGAGGAGCAGGGGGGGUACCUGGGGCUGGAGGAUAUAAUCCUGCUGCAGCCAAAGCAGCUAAAUAUGGAGUUCCAGGAGGUACAGGAGCAAGCCUAGGAGCUGGAGGACUUGGAGGAGGAUAUGGAGGAGCAGGAGGGGCUGGGGCUGGAGGAUAUAACCCUGCUGCGGCCAAAGCUGCUAAAUAUGGAGUUCCCGGAGGUGCAGGAGCAGGCCUAGGAGCUGGGGGAGCAGGAGGAGUACCAGGAGGAGGAGCAGGGGGUGUACCUGGGGCUGGAGGAUAUUAUCCCGCUGCGGCCAAAGCUGCUAAAUAUGGAGUUCCAGGAGGCCUAGGAACAGGCUUAGGAGGAGGAGGACUUGGAGGAGUACAGGGAGGAGUACCUGGAGGAGGAGCAGGGGGUGUACCUGGGGCUGGAGGAUAUAAUCCUGCUGCAGCCAAAGCUGCUAAAUAUGGUCAGGGGGCUGCUGGUGGGCCAGGGGGUGGAUAUGGUGGCGUGCCUGCUGGAGGAUAUCCCAGGCCUGGGGGCUAUGGGGGGUAUGGAGGGGCAGGAGCUGGAGGGUAUAAUCCUGCUGUGGCCAAAGCUGCUAAAUAUGUCCCAGGAGCUGGAGGAGCAGGCCUAGGAGCUGGAGGAGCAGGCCUAGGAGGAGCAGGAGGAGUACCAGGGCCUGGGGCUGGACCAGGAUAUGGAGGCUAUGGAGGAUAUGGAGGGGUACCAGCAGGAGGGGCUGCUGCUGCGGCCAAAGCUGCUAAAUAUGGAGUACCAGGAGGUGCAGGAGCAGGCCUUGGAGCUGGAGGACUUGGAGGAGCAGGAGGAGUACCAGGGGCUGGAGGAUAUAACCCUGCAGUGGCCAAAGCGGCUAAAUAUGGAGUCCCCGGAGGUGCAGGAGCAGGCAUAAGAGCUGGAGGAACAGGAGGAUUACCAGGAGGAGGAGCAGGGGGUGUACCUGGGGCUGGAGGAUAUAAUCCCGCUGCAGCCAAAGCUGCUAAAUAUGGAGUCCCAGGAGGUGUAGGAACAGGCCUAGGAGCAGGAGGACUUGGAGGAGGAGGACAGGGAGGAGUACCUGGACAAGUAGGAGCUGGAGGAUAUGAUCCCGCAGCCAAAGCUGCUAAAUAUGGUAUGCCAAGUGGGGCGGGCAUCGGUGGAGAAGGUGUGCCAGCACCUAUAGCGACUCCAAGACCAGGUGUGGGCGUGGGUGGUGGUGUUGGAGGAACUGCCAUUGAGCGCACUGACGUACCAGUGGGCACAGGGAUACCUAUCGCAGGCAAACCAGCAGAGGAUUCAUCUCUAGAACCCAGUGGAACUCCCAUCCCAGGUGCCACAGGAGUAACUGGAGUUGGGGCUGGGGUUCUUCAACCUAGUGUUGGUACAGGCCCAGCUCAGCCUGGUGUGGGUGUCGGAGCAGGUGGCAAAGCUCCUAAACCCCCUGGUGCAGGGGGAUACCCGUAUGGUGGUUAUGGACAGGGUGCUGGUGGAUAUCCCUAUGGAGGAGGACAUGGAAAUCCAUACGGAGCAGGAGCUGGACAACUUCCUGGAGCCAAGCCCCUGAAACCUCCAGUUGUGGGAGGAGCAGGUGGUGUGGCUGGAGGAGCAGGUAUCCCUCUUACUGGAGCAGGUGGUGGUGCAGGUAUGGAAUCACUUUCGUACCUGUCUUAGGAAAUAAAUAAGCUUAUGGUGUAACUGAACAAUUAAUAUCCACAAUGUCCCCAAAAUGGUGCCAUACGAAGAGACAUGUUGAGUUCAACCCCAUCCUAUAACUUCAAUGGCUUAUUGUAACUCUGUACUCCUUAACCUCAGAUCAACUCUGUAUAACAUUGUGUUACAUACAUCUUGCUGAGCCAAUCUCUGGUGUUCCCUAGGCAAUGAAGUCAUCAUGUCAGGAAUAAAGCUGCUUUUCUUUCCAUCAUGAUUCAGGGGGAUACCCGUAUGGUUAUGGUCAAGGUGGUUAUGGACAGGGACAGGGUAUGUAUGAGAGAGGGGAAGCAGGCCAGCUGGCCUCUCAGAGUGACCGUUGUCCAGGAAAUGUAAUUGACUUGCACUUCCUAUGACCAAUGAGGCGAUUGGAGUGGUGACUGUGACAGACACCAGAGCCAGGAAUGAGAUGCCAAUGGGACUGUGUCUGAAACCCCAAUGACAACUGAGCUAGAAACACCCUCUCCAAACCAAACCGUUGAAACUCUCAUGCCCCCUCAAACAAUGGACCUCUGGGACGUUCUGUGGUUGUAGCUUUGUAACAACACAAAGCUUGACCAUAGCCAGGAAAAUGUCUUGUCCUUGUUUUUAACUGCCAAGUCUAGCUAGAUAGGUUCAACUGUCAUCAACAGUAGCUGAUCAUAUAAAGCUACAGAUAAUAACUAUCUAGUGUGUGAAUUGUCAGCCAUGUUCUUAGUGGAGGACUAGUGUCACCCACUAGAGGCCUGGUACGAGGCUAUAGGAGAACUAACCCAGUCUCAUGUUUCAGGUGUGAGGUAUCCCACUGGUGUUGGUCUGGGGGCAGGAGCAGGUCAAAAAGCACCCAAACCCCCAGGUUAUGGUAACCUAGGUGCUGGUGGUGCUGGUUAUAAUCCAGGUGCUGGUGCGGUCCCAGGUUACGGCGGUGGCUACCCACAACAACAGGGUUACCCACAGCAAGGUGGCAGCUACCCACAACAACCCUACCCAGGUAACGUGUAUAACCUCUAUCUGUGAAAAUCAGAUGCAGUGUGUGUACAGUAUGCUUUUAUAGAAAAUGGGAUGUUGUGACCCAGGAACUGUGAAGAUAAAAGUAGAACAAAAAGAGCGUACAGCCAAGUUGAUAGUUGUUAAUAUCUGUUCAUCUUUACUGUCCAGGGAGGACAGAGGAAGCAAGGGCAUUCACUUCAGUAGUUUGAGUUCCCGUUUGUAAACAUGUCCCAAUCAUUCACUUACAGUAAAUGUAGAAAAGUGUCGAUUGGCCAUAAGUUUAGACUUUUUGGCAAACUUGACAUAAUUUUACAAACUGAAUUAAAUACUGAGAAAUAGUAGCCAACAGUUAUAUCAAGGACAAAUAAGCUAGCCACUCAACAUAACCAUCAAGAGAAUAGAUGUCAAUUAAACCUGAUCGCUUAUCCGGACCACAUACUGUUUGCCCCCUGGCGACAGGGGUUUGAGCCUUGUCUCGGCUACCCUCUGUCUAUGCCCCUACUAUCUGUCUCCCUCUCUACAUUUCCCACUGUACUGUAAAGGAAAAUAUAUCAAAUCAAAACAACAAAAAUUCAACCUGACUCCACGCGCUGGUGGCUCUUUAGCUGCCCAUGUUCACCCCAUUUCUGCCUGGAUCAGGAGGUGGACUAAAGCCGAAUUGUCGACAGACAGGUAACCCAGAAUGACAGACAGACAAGCAGCCCUCAGGCCUGUUGCUUUAGUAUUAGAGCUAACCUCUGGGAGAGAAAGAGAGAGGGGAACAGAUCUAGAGACAAUUGAAAGGAACAGCCAACUUCCCCAUACCUGGUUUAGUUUCCCCUCAUUAAAUGAAUUGAUGGGGAACAUUGAGUGCUCUAAGCACUUAAUUGGUUAUGAAAAUAAAAUAAUUGAGGUGGUGUUGGGAAUGUCAGUCUCUCUCUCUCUCAGCGUAGUCACUAGAUGCUAGUUACUCUCACUUUUACUGAAGCUUCUGUGAAUCCGAUAGCUACUCUGACCAUGCUUUGACCAUGAAAAUCAGAAUUUAAUGUUUGACAAGCAGGGUGCAAAAUAUUGCACACAUACACAGAAAACAUCAAACACUCCUGGUAACUUCCUCAAUUUAUAGGUUAAAAUGGAAAAGUCCCAAUUCCUAUUAUUACUGAUGAUAUAGAGUUCAUUUGAAUUGUCAUUGACUUUUGUCUGGCAACAUGAUGAUGAUAUCUAGCAUUAUAACUGAAAUUAACCUAAUCUCUAUUAGGGGCUUUUUUCUUUGAACAUUUGAACAAUUUCUUACACUUGACAUGAUUAAACGUCAUAAUUUAAUUCAGGAUGUCUCAAUGGUGUGACCACCCUUGGGAAUAAUUAAACGGUUUUUUGGAUGACUUAAUGAGCUCUGCUGCAUAUUCCUGUCUAGUCUGAAAUGCAGACUGUUUACUGACAAAACAGAUACAGAUGCGAAUGUUAUUUCUGGCAUCAGUGAACGCUUUACCCUUGCAGUGUGCUUGUUUACUAUUUACUAUAUGUUUACUAUAUAUCUAUUACUCGUUUACUAUUGGUUUACACAGACAGUAAUGAAAUCAAAACAUGGUAUUUUGCUACUGCAGUAUUAGUAAAAGUAUGUGGUUGUUACUCUAUCAGAUAAUGCUCAACCGUAAUUGUACUUUCUUCAAAAGUCUCUAAGUUUUGUAUUAUGUAAUUUCCAAAGCACCUCAUCAUUACAUGAGGAAAAUCCCCUUGUGAUUAUGUGAUGUCUGCUGCUUUCUGAUCAGAUCGAUAGUAUGCUUAUGACUAAACCUGCUUUGAGAAAGUCCUGAGAAAUGACCCAUACUGAUCAUCCUAGUUCAUGACGCACCAAAACACAGCCACUUUCCAUUGGUUAUGUUCUAUCUAUCUGAACAAGUGUGUUUUGGUUGCUUUGUGUGUUCCAAUGCACAAUGAAGAAAUGGUCUUCAGCUCUCUCACUCUCUGAUCAAAGUUUUUCAAGAUUCUACUACAUUAUGCUAUUUUAAACAUGAAACACCCUUAGCAAAAAUCAUCUCAUCCCUUCCAAACUCCAAAUACUUUUUCUUAAAUGUUUGUCUGUCUACUAGGAGCAUAUGGAGCAGGCCAGACGGCACCACUGACUCCUCAACAAGGUACUGGUGUCUUUUCUUUUUUCCCCUGUUGUAAGGUAUCUCUCGUCCUACUCAGCCAAACCUGACACCACACAGUCAGUGCAUGGGAGAGAAAUUUGCUUUAAAUAAUCCAAUUUUCUGUUACACCUAGUACAUUUCCUAUUUUAUUAUAAUCAGUCUGUUCUUAGCGGAGGAUGACAUCACGUAAGAUUAUUUGGAUGAGAUUAGAAUGAGAGGAUGGCGUUGGAUAGAACAGUGAGUACUUGCCGUCGGUGCAGAUGGUGUACCAACCAGUGUCUAUUAAAGUCCAAUAAUCUGAAUUUUCCUGAGCACAGGGAAGAUUACUGACGGUGGGAUUAUGUUUCAUAAAGUAAGGCAGGUUUAUCAUGUCAGGAUUUAGAGUUUUUGAUGUGCUACUCCAGUGGUGCUGUGCUGAUAUUGUGUGGAAAUCUUUGGGAUAUUAACCUAAUGUAAAUUCACAAGUCACUGUCUGUCUGUAUUUGUAGUGCAGCACCAGAGGAGGUUGGUGGGAGAAGCUAUAGGAAGAUGGGCUCAUUGUAAUCGCUGGAAUGGUGUACAUAAGUUUGUGUUUGAUACCGUUGCAUUUAUACCAUUCCAGUCUUUACAAUGAGCCCAUUCUCCUAUAGCUCCUCCCACCAGCCUCCUCUGUCAGUGCAUAUGUUUGCUAAGAGCACACCACUGUAUACUAGCACUGCCAGGAGAGAAACUGCUCAGCAUACAGUGCUUUCGGAAAAUAUUUAGACCCCUUGACUUUUCCCACAUUUUGUUAGGUUUCAGCCUUAUUCUAAAAUUGAUUAAAUUGUUUUUUUCCCUCAUCAAUCUACACACAAUACCUCAUAAUGACAAAGCAAAAACAGUUUUUUAUUUAUUGGGGCUAAUUUAUAUUUAAAAAAAACCCCAGAAAUAUUACAUUUUACAUAAGUAUUCAGACCCUUUACCAAGAACUUUGUUGAAGCCCCUUUGGCAGCAAUUACAAAAUCGAGUCUUCUUGGAUAUGCCGAUACAAGCUUGGCACACCUGUAUUUGGGGAGUUUCUCCCAUUCUUCUCUGCAGAUCCUCUCAAGCUCUGUCAGGUUGGAUGGGGAGCGUUGCUGAACAGUUAUUUUCAGGUCUCUCUAGAGAUGUUCGAUCGGGUUCAAGUCCGGGCUCUGGCUGGGCCACUCAAGGACAUUCAGAGAUUUGUCCCAAAGCCACUCCUGCGCUGUCUUGGCUGUGUGCUUAGGUUGUUGUCCUGUUGGAAGGUGAACCUUCGCCCCAGUCUGAUGUCCUGAGCAGGUUUUCAUCAAGGAUCUCUCUGUACUUUGCUCCGUUAAUCUUUGCCUCGAUCCUGACUCGUCUCCCAGUCCCUACCACUGAAAAACAUCCCCACAGCAUGAUGCUGCCACCACCAUGUUUCACCCUAGGAAUGGUCCUCCAGACGUGACGCUUGGCAUUCAGGCCAAAGUGUUCAAUCUUGGUUUCAUCAGACCACAGAAUCUUGUUUCUCAUGGUCAGAGUCCUUUAGGUGCCUUUUUGGCAAACUCCAAGCGGACUGUCAUGCGCCUUUUUACUGAGGAGUGGCUUCCGUUUGGUCACUCUACCAUAAAGGCCUGAUUGGUGGAGUGCUGCAGAGAUGGUUGUCCUUCUGGAAGGUUCUCAUAUAUCCACAGAGGAACUCUAAAGAGGAACUCUAUGGUGGUUGGACCCAUCUUCACAUAGAUGGGUCCAACCACCAUUAAGAACAAAUUCUUAUUUACAAUGAUGGCCUACCCCGGCCAAACCCAGAUGACGCUGGGCCAAUUGUGCACCGCCCUAUGGGACUCCCAAUGAUGGCCGGAUGUGAUACAGCCUGGAUUCGAACUAGGGACUGUAGUGACGCCUCUUGCACUGAGAUGCAAGAGGCUGCGUCCGUGUGUGUGUGUGUUAACUAUUUAACUGUACUAGAAUGCUUAAAAGGAUGCUAAAAUGUUAAAUAUCGGUUAUCGGUAUCAUUUUUUUUGGCAAGGAAAAUAUCGGAUACCGGUAUCGGCCAAUUAUGUCAUAUAGGUGCAUCACUAAUUUCAGGUGAAGCUGGUUGAGAGAUUGCCAAGAGUGUGCAAAGCUGUCAUCAAGGCAAAGGGUGGCUACUUUGAAGAAUCAAAAAUAUUUUGAUUUGUUUAACACUUUUUGGGUUACUACAGGAUUCCAUAUGUGUUAUUUCCUAGUUUUGAUGUCUUCAUUAUUAUUGUACAUUGUAGAAAAUAGUAAAAGAAAAAUAGGAAAAACCCUUGAAUGAGUAGGUAUGUCCAAACUUUUUACUGGUACUUAGUAGAUAGUCGUCAGCCUUUUGCUCACAUAGGUGGGAGGUGUGUUUUUAUAUAACUAUUUAAACCUUUCCCGCAUUUACACUUAUCGCAAGAAUGGUCUCAAUGGCUAAUCUACAAAUGCCAAAUUAUGUGCUAUUGCCAAUUAUCUGUGCUAAUGCAGUAUCAUAAAUUAUUAUGACUGGUUGUUAUGACUUGUCAUCAUGCCCUCAUGCCAUCAAAUCAUCAAUGUAGGCCCCUUUAUGGUGCAUAGAUCAAGUAUUAUUCACAUUAUAUUAUACACAUACUGACCACACCUCUGAGUACACCCUGCACCCCUACUGUAAGAAACCUGCAGUUCAAAUCAUUACAUUUGUAAUAGCUAAGAAUUAUUCAUUAACACUAUUGAUUUAGGGCAUAUGUUGCAGUCGCAGCACAAGUGAAUAUCAAUAGCCCCUCUAUAUUUAGCAUUUGCGGCUAGCCAACCAAUUAUUGUGGGAAGCUGCUAUAGACCACCAAGUGCUAACAGUCAGUAUCUGGAUAAUAUGUGUGAAAUGCUUGAUAAUGUAUGUGAUAUCAACAGAGAAGUAUAUUUAAAUGAUUGAUUGAAAUGGGUGAUUUAAAUAUUGACUGGCUAUCAUCAAGCUGCCCACUCAGGAAAAAACUUCAAACUUUGCUAAUGCUACAGAUAUUUGCUUUAAAGCAGUAUCCAAAUCCAUAGGAUGUAGUGAUCACAAUAUAACAGCCAUAUCUAGGAAAACCAAAGUUCCAAAGGCUGGGCCUAAUAUAGUGUAUAUGAGGUCAUACAAUAAGUUUUGUAGUGAUUCAUAUGUUGAUAAUGUAAAGAAUAUUUGCUGGUCUGUGGUUUGUAAUGAGCAGCAACCAGACGCUACACUUGACGCAUUUAUGAAACUACUUAUACCAGUUACAAAUAAGCACACACCCAUUAACAAAAUUACUGUAAAAACAGUUAAAUCCCCUUGGGUUGAUGAGGAAUUGAAAACUUGUAUGGUUGAGAGGGAUGAGGCAAAAGGUGGCAAUUGAGUCUGGCAGCCCAACUGAAUGGCUAACAUACUGCAAAUUAAGAAAUCAUGUGACUAAACUAAAUAAAAAUGAACUAAACUAUGAAACAAAGAGAAAUUAUUUAAACAAUUUGAGUAAAAAGCUUUGGGGCACGUUAAAAUAAAUUUUGGGGAAAAAAGCCAACUCGGCUCCUUCAUUCAUUGAUCAGAUGGCUCAUUCAUCACAAAGCCAACUGAUAAUGCAAGCUACUUUAAUGACUUUUUCAUUGGCAAGAUAAGCAAACAUAGGGAUGACAUUCUAGCAACAAAUGCUGAUACUACACAUCCAAGUAUAUCGGACCAAAUUAUGAAAGACAAGAUUUGUACUUUUGAAUUCCGUAAAGUCAGUGUGGAAGAGGUGAAAAAAAAUAUUGUUGUCUAUCAACAAUGACAAGCCACCGGGGUCUGACAAUCUGGAUGGAAAAUUACUGAGGAUAAUAGCAGAUGAUAUUGCCACUCCUAUUUGCCACAUCUUCAAUUUAAGCCUACUAGAGAGCGUGUGCCCUCAGGUCUGGAGGGAAGCUAAAGUCCUUCCGCUACCCAAGAAUAGUAAAGCUCCCUUUACUGGCUCAAAUAGCCGACCAAUCAGCCUGUUACCAACCCUUAGUAAACUUCUGAAAAAAAUGGUGUUUGACUAGAUACAAUGCUAUUUCACAGUAAACAAAUUGACAACAGUAUUUCAGCAUGCUUAUAGGUAAGGACACUCAACAAGUGCAGAACUUACACAAAUGACUGAUGAUUGGCUGAGAGAAAUUGAUGAGAAAAUGAUUGUGGGGGCUGUCUUGCUAGACUUCAGUCCAGCUUUUGACAUUAUUGAUCAUAGUCUGCUGCUGGAAAAACAUAUGUGUUAUGGCUUUACACCCCUUGCUAUAAUGUGGAUAAAGAGUUACUUGUCUAACAAAACACAGAGGGUGUUCUUUAAUGGAAGCCUCUCAAAUAUAAUCCAGUUAGAAUCAGGAAUUCCCCAGGGUAGCUGUUUAGGCCCCUAGAUUUUUUUUAAAAUUUACUAACAACACGCCACUGACUUUGAGUAAAGCCAGAGUGUCUAUGUAUGCAGAUGACUCAACACUAUACACGUCAGCUACUACAGUGACUGAAAUGACUGCAACACUCAACAAAGAGCUGCAGUUAGUUUCAGAGUGGGUGGCAAGGAAUAAGUUAGCCCUAAAUAUUUCUACAACUAAAAGCAUUGUAUUUGGAACAAAACACUCACUAAACCAUAAACCUCCAUUAAAUCUUGUAAUAAAUAAUAUGGAAAUUGAGCAAGUUGAGAUGACUAAACUGCUUGGAGCAACGCUAGUUUGUAAACUGUCAUGGUCAAAACAUUGAUGCAGUAGUAGUAACUAAGAUGGGGAGAAGUCUGUCUAUAAUAAAGUGAUGCUCUGCCUUCUUAACAACACUAUCAACAAGGCAGGUCCUACACGCCCUAGUUUUGUCGCACCUGGACUACUGUUCAGUCGUGUGGCCAGGUGCCACAAAUAAAGGACUUAGGAAAAUUGCAAUUGGCUCAGAACAGGGUGGCACGGCUGGUCCAUGGAUAUACACAGAGAGCUAAUAUUAAUAAUAUGCAUGUCAAUCUCUCCUGGCUGAAAGUGGAGUAGAAAUUGACUUCCUCACUACUUUUAUUUAUGAGAGGUAUUGACAUGUUGAAUGCACCGAGCUGUCUGUCUAAACUACUGGCACACAGCUCAGACACCCAUGCAUACCCCACAAGACAUGCCACAAGAGGUCUCUUCACAGUCCCCAAGUCCAGAACAGACUAUGGGAGGCAUUCAGUACUACAUAGAGCCAUGACUACAUGGAACUCUAUUCCACAUCAAGUAACUGACGCAAGCAGUAAAAUUAGAUUUAAAAAAACAGAUUAAAAAACACCUUAUGGAACAGCGGGGACUGUGAAGCAACACAAACAUUGGCACACACACACACACAAUAACAUAGGCACUAUACAUACACAUGGAUUUAGUACUGUAGAUAUGUGGUAGUGGUGGAGUAGGGGCCUGAAGGCACAUAGUGUGUUGUGAAUGUAUUGUAAUGUUUUAAAAUUGUAUUAACUGCCUUAAUUUUGCUGGAUCCCAGGAAGAGUAGCUGCUGCUUUGGCAGCAGCUAAUGGGGAUCCAUAAUAAAUACAAAUACAACCUGUUAGCAUUUUUCUUGUUUGACAACCUGUUAGCAUAUGCUAACUCACUCGCAAGGCUUGCUGGGGCUUUUGGCUGCUGUGGUCACGCAACAGAUUUCCAUAAAGUUUACUCCUCUGUGCAGUGUGGUUAGAAAAACACAUUAAAGCUGCUCAGGAAAUGACUUGCCAACACUGUUAAAAAAAUAUAUAAUUAGUGAUCACAAAAACACCUGUGAUUAACUAACUUUUUUCACAGCCAAAGCAGCCAAGUAUGGCCCACUCCAGGGCUUCCUUGGUGGAGCAGGAGGAGGAGGCUACAGACCAGGUACGAUAAGAGACACACUCUGGCAUGUGACCAACAAAAAAACAUAAACCUGAUACCGAACCAAGAACUAAUGCAAACCCUCUUACCAAUGCAUGCAUUUAAAAUAUCCUCUCUUCCAAUGUGGUUUCUCUACAGGAGGAGUUGCUGCUGGAUGCCAAAGCAAAUACUGUGGAAGGCAGAAGUAGAGGAUGUUCUUCAGAAGAAGUUGAACCUCAAGAAACAAUGGUGCUACUGCAUGAUCUAGAAUGUACAUUUUAUAUGCACAAAAUCCCCCAUUACAGUAUGUAAAGAUAUGUUGUACUUUAUUUGACUCAAUAUAUUUUUUAUACAAACCCACCGACCCAGACUUUUGCACACAUUUGAUGUGACUUAGUGUUUUUGAUUGUGCCUUUAUCAUUGUUCAUUGUGUUCAUCAGCUCUUACUGACAUGUCUGCGAUGCUCCCUUUUAGUAGUUACCAAGUGUUUGUAUGUGCAUGCAUGUGUGUGGGCGUGGAUGUGUGGCUGUGUGUCUCUCUAUGUGCUUGUGAGUUUUCACAUGUUGCCAGAGAUGUUUGGGUAUAUAGGAGAAUAUGAAAGAUUAUCCAACUAGAGCCAUUCAGCAUGCUUUUAAUGCAGAGAAGUGCUCCAAGUCAAAACCAGCACCAUUCCUGUAACUGUACAUCCCUCUCCAUGUGCUUAGUGUCUGUGUGUACCAAAGUUGGAGAUCUUCACAUACUGACAUCUCAAACCAAGGGUUGAGCUUCAAGAGGUGUGGUUGGUAAAGUGCUGAUAAACUUUGGCCAUGUAUCUUCAGAACUGCCUCCUCUGGCUUUCUAUCAUCUCUGCUGCUAUUUAUAGCCCUGGGUGAAAUAGCAGUGGCAUAGCGCGUGUGUGUGGGCACAGGUUUCACAGUCCAUCUGCCAUCAGCAACUUUGACUAUAUUUUAAGUGCCAUGGUGUAAGUAGCCUUCUUGCCUUGAUUUCUGACAAACUUGGGAAGUAUGAAGAGCAGGUGUUGCUCUGAAUGUGAUAAAGCUGAUGACAAUCAAUCCAAAGGUGUUCAAAAGAUUUGUAGGUGAUAUCUUCAGUGAUAUUCAUAUCAUACAUUGUGUUGGUUUGUACCCAAGUCCUUUCAAAUGGUGUGUUUUGUUUUUUAAAUGAUUUGUAUGUUUUAAGUUUUACAAACAUGUAAAAGUAAAACUGAAAUCCUUUCGAUACUGCUCUGGCAUGUCUUGUACGUUAUGUAUGUAUGUAUUGAACAUUUUGUUUUAUUAAUUACUUAUCAUUUUUCUGGUGUCCAAGAUUAAGUGCCUAGAAUGUUAUGCAUAUCUGUAAUCAAUCUAGUUUCACAUGCAGUUAUAGUUUCAUUUAUGCAAAUUGUCGCUCAUUAUUCAAGUUUCAAAUGUUUCCGCUCAUGAAAGUAGACUAUCACCAUAUUUGUGUAAUCUUGAAUAAGGCAAAAAAUGUUUGUUAAAAAAAAAUAUAUAUUUGGGUAAUGCAUUUAAUCACUGUUGAGAAUUUUAAUAUGUGUCUGUGUGUAGGCUAUAGCCCCUAGUCUGUGUAAAUUGUGAGAGUGAGCUCCCAUUUCACUCUUUACUUGAGUUAGUUACAGUUGAAUAAGACUCACUAGACAUUACUGACCAAAGAUUGAUUCGCUCUGUUAUAAAGUUACACUACGAUGUCUCUUUAGGGAUUGUGUGUACUGUAUGUUGUAGUAAUUGCCCUAGGUUAUCAUGACUCUCACUCGCUUCAGUUUUUGUAGCCUACUCGUGAGGCUUUUUCUGAACUGUGUGUGAGCCGCUCCUCUGCCGUGCGGUGGGAUAGUAUUCAUCUUAUUUAAAUGGAAAAAGGAGGAACGAUGGGGUUUUGCACUUUUAUAUUUUCAUGACGCACAUGUGACUUGUUCCCGGUAAUCCCGGCAUUUUAUUUGCUUAAGUAAAAUAACGAAAUAAAAUGGUUAAUAAAUACA